UACGUAGGGGGCAAGCGUUAUCCGGAUUCACUGGGUGUAAAGGGAGCGUAGACGGUAUGGCAAGUCUGAUGUGAAAACCCGGGGCUCAACUCCGGGAUUGCAUUGGAAACUGUUAAACUGGAGUGCAGGAGAGGUAAGUGGAAUUCCUAGUGUAGCGGUGAAAUGCGUAGAUAUUAGGAGGAACACCGGUGGCGAAGGCGGCUUACUGGACGAUAACUGACGUUGAGGCUCGAAAGCGUGGGGAGCAAAC
rnacentral:rRNA from 1 species